CAAAGUAGGCCUAGCAUCUCAGUCACCUCCUGCUGCCUGUGGAUCAGGUUGUUGAACCCUCAGCUCCUUCUCCAGCACCAGGUCUGCCUGCAUGCUGCCAUGCUUCCUGCCAUGAUGAUAAUGGACUGAACCUCUGAAACGGAGGAGCCAGUCUCUUCGCUGUAAAGACCCCACGCUACCAACAAUUAUGGUUGACAAAAUCUGUCCGCUGAGGCGACUUCAGCGUAAGAGUGAGUUUUGUGAAUGGACAUCAGAGCAAAUUUAACACCAGGUGUCUGGGGCUGAAGAGAUGGCUCA
rnacentral:lncRNA from 1 species